rnacentral:snRNA from 1 species
CGAUAAAUGCAGGGCAUUACGCAUAUCAGUGAGGAUUCGUCCGAGAUUGCGUUUUUGCUAGUUGAAAACUAUCAACUGACCGCUCUCGUUUUUGGUCUUCGGAUCGGCGAGGAAUUUUUGACAAUUCAAUAA